rnacentral:misc_RNA from 1 species
GAUGAAGAACGCAGCGAAAUGCGAUAAGUAGUGUGAAUUGCAGAAUUCAGUGAAUCAUCGAAUCUUUGAACGCACAUUGCGCCCCUUGGUAUUCCAUGGGGCAUGCCUGUUCGAGCGUCAUUUGUACCUUCAAGCUCUGCUUGGUGUUGGGUGUUUGUCUCGCCUCUGCGUGUAGACUCGCCUCAAAACAAUUGGCAGCCGGCGUAUUGAUUUCGGAGCGCAGUACAUCUCGCGCUUUGCACUCAUAACGACAGCGUCCAAAAGUACAUUAUACACUCUUGACCUCGGAUCAGGUAGGGAUACCCGCUGAACUUAAGCAUAUCAAUAAGCGGAGGA